AUUCCACCAAACAGCUGGUCAACACAAAAUGUCUGCACCCGGAUAAUUUAACAAACAGGGAAUUGACACCAAACACAAGCAUGUCACAGCCUAAAGUCUACAAUCUAUGGAGUUUCUCACCUACACCUUCAGGAAGAGGGAUUUUUUGGCCUGGUUGGAUAGCAGUGGAUACUAGUGACCUGGAUCUCCUGAGUGGGAAUGUACUCUUCCUGAAACUUCUUGCCCUGAAGCCGAUGCCACAGGGUGCUCUUUCCUGUGUUUCUAUCCCCUCUGAUGACUAUUUUCACUGUAGUGGAGACAGAAAGUACACAUAACAUACUCUGAUUCAUGGACUGUAGGCCAGCAGGGAUGAUCUUGUCCUUCACCUGACCAGCUGGCUCAGAGCCAACCAACUUCUUGAGGGCAGAAAACAUCUUGACUUUGCCUCUAGAUGUGUUAUUUAUAUUCUGGACUCA